UCGUGAAUUAACCACAUUUAUUUGAGAGCUUUAAAAUAAAUUAACGCCCAAGCAAUAUGUUCAUAAAUUUCAAAGUGUUUGCGAUUUUAGUAGCUGUUUUGCCUGUGGCUUGGCCAACAGAUUCGUCGACUGAGAAUGAAUCAUUGUUCGAAAAACUAGAGGAACAAUGUGGCGCAUAUGCAUUUCGGAUCGUAAAACCAAUGCUAGAGCAUUUUUCAAAGGUUAACAAUGAAACCGCAAUAAAAAACAGAAAAAUAGCUGAAUUGGAACAACUUAUUGAAACUAAUACAAAAACUCUUCAAAACAAUGCACAACAAUUAACAAAACUAAAUGACAAUUCUGCGAAAUGUGAAAUAGAGUUGCAGACAACAACAACCAAAAACGCAAAUUUAAAAGAUAGUUUAAAUAUUAAAGAGGCAGACGUCUUCCAAGCAGAGUCAAACCUAACUUUAUGCGAAAAGAAUGCAGCUGAUAAAGAUGUGGAACUUAACAGCCUUAAAGAGAAAUUAGUUGAAUACAAACAAAUAGUUGAGCAUCUCCCGACCAGUUGUGUUGAUCUUAAGAACUACUCGGGAAUCCUUGCAUUAAAAGUUGAAGGCUUGGACCCGUUUUUCGGGUCAUGCGAUUCGAAUCUGGCGGGAUCUGGGUGGACCCUAAUACAACGCCGCAUUGACGGAAAAGUCGACUUCUAUCGACCAUGGCAGGAUUACAAACAUGGCUUUGGAAACGUCAAAGAAGAAUUCUGGCUUGGACUUGAAAAGCUACACAGAAUUACGAGCGCACAGAGAUACGAGCUUUACAUUCAACUGGUGGAUCAGGAAAAUGAAAUGCGUUUUGCCAGAUAUGAUGAUUUUCGAAUUGGAAGUGAGCAAAAGAAAUACAAGUUGAUUUCAAUUGGCAAAUUCAGUGGAAAUGCCGGUGAUUCCAUGGAAUACCACAAAGGAAGUAAUUUUUCAACCUACGAUAGUGAUAACAAACAGAGUUGUGCUUCGAUGUUGAAAGGUAGCUGGUGGUAUAAAAGCUGCGCGUUUAGCAACCUAAACGGUAAAAGGUUCGACUGUAACGUUGAAGACACGAAUGAGUUAGAAACCACUGGAUGCAUUUACUGGCAGCAUUGGCAUGGCCGGAGUCACUCCCUAAAAAAUGUCCAAAUGAUGAUACGACCAUUAGAAUAUAAUAAAUAGUCUAUUAAUUAA